GGGCUAUCUGGCUGUGACAUCUGUCAUCUAUUGAUCACCAGGAUUGAUUUGGCUGGCUAGAUGGUUGUCCCCUUCCUUCUGUGUCCCUCCUGAAGCUGCUGCUCUGUCAAAGAGGAUGACCAUCCCUAACAGAGGAGGACCAUUCCCCUGCUAGAACCUCCAAACAAGCUUUCAAUAUGUAAUCAAGUAUUAAUCUGAUUAUUUACAUUUUUU
rnacentral:sRNA from 1 species